rnacentral:rRNA from 1 species
UACAGAGGGGGCAAGCGUUGUUCGGAAUUACUGGGCGUAAAGGGCGCGUAGGCGGCCUGUUAAGUCGAACGUGAAAUCCCCGGGCUUAACCCGGGAACUGCGUCCGAUACUGGCAGGCUUGAAUCCGGGAGAGGGAUGCGGAAUUCCAGGUGUAGCGGUGAAAUGCGUAGAUAUCUGGAGGAACACCGGUGGCGAAGGCGGCUCACUGGCCCGAUACUGACGCUGAGGCACGAAAGCGUGGGGAGCAAACAGG